rnacentral:rRNA from 10 species
GCUUACGGCCAUACCACCUUGGGCACGCCCGAUCUCGUCUGAUCUCGGAAGUUAAGCAGGGUCUGGCCUGGUUAGUACUUGGAUGGGUGACCGCCUGGGAAUACCAGGUGCUGUAAGCA